UUCCCGCCGACCGAGGGGGCGUGGGCAGGGCAGGGCAGAGAGCACGCGCAGUGAGCCUCGAGCGCGCGGCGGGCAACCCGGGAUCCGAAGUUCUUUACAGCUGCCCGGCCGGAGUGGGUUUUCAUGCCCCUGCUUUCCGAUUGUUUUCCGGCCCUGCCCCCGAGGCUGGAGCGUGGACAGCGGAGGGCGCCGCAAUAAAGGCCAUCUUCUAGAUUAAAAGGACACCUUGCCCAGACUCUGCCUGUAGAAUUCAUCACUUCCAGCCGGGUGACUUGGAGUUAAUCAAAACCUGGAAAGAAGACAAACUCCAACCAAGCUGGAAAGGCCCUUAUCAAGUGCUUCUGACGACCGAGACAGCUGUGUGGACUGCUGAAAAAGGUUGUACUCAUUAUACACGAGUCAGGGGGCCAAUAAAAGAGACCUCAAAGGGAAGGGAAAGGACCAAUGAACAGCCUUUAAAGGGUCUUUUCCAAUGAGCUGGCUCUUCACAUCAGAUGGCCAAAGUAUUGGAGCUUCAGCUUCAGUCCUUCCAGUGAUGGGUCUGCCAAGUGGUAAAUAGCCAGGCAACCAGAGAGUGCUCUGCCAUAAGAGCACAUAAGAAGGAGGGAAGCCCUGACGCUCCACAUGGAUGGACCCUGGGAAAACGAUGCUCGGGAAGAGUAGCAGACACAGAAGGACACGCAGGCUGAGACUCCGUGGUGGAAAUGUCCUGAACAGGCAGAUCCACAGGGACAGAGAGGGGAGAAACCUAAAGGGAUAAUGUGGUGCCCAACCACACAGUCUGGACUACAUACACAUCUGCCAUGUGGCCUCCAACACCCAGAUGCGCCAUCUCAGAGCCCAGCUACCCCUGGUGAUGUCUAACUGCUGUGAGAGCGAGAAAAGCAGCAGGAAGGGACGAGACGGGGGGACCCACAGUGUGAAUUCCCCCCGUGACAGUACUGGAACUCAGGGGCCGUCACCCUGGGCUCCAAGCAUCCACAACCCGAUCAGAUCGGUCAGUGCGUGCCAGCCGCAGCCAUCAAAUCCUCUCCUUCGGUGUGAACACCUCUCCCCUUGCUCCCGGCUGGGGAGGCCCCUCACCAUCUUGGCUUUGGCGCUGCUCGGUUCAAAGCGAUGUUUGCUCAGAGAAUCUUUUGAAAAGUUAACAAGCCUCAGUUUAUCUUUUAACAGGUUGAAACUGUUGUUCCUUGCGAGUCAGUAAAGACAACUGACAA